rnacentral:rRNA from 1 species
AUGAACGCUGGCGGCGUGCCUAAUACCUGCCAGUCGAGCGAACGGACGAGAAGCUUGCUUCUCUGAUGUUAGCGGCGGACGGGUGAGUAACACGUGGAUAACCUACCUAUAAGACUGGGAUAACUUCGGGAAACCGGAGCUAAUACCGGAUAAUAUUUUGAACCGCAUGGUUCAAAAGUGAAAGACGGUCUUGCUGUCACUUAUAGAUGGAUCCGCGCUGCAUUAGCUAGUUGGUAAGGUAACGGCUUACCAAGGCAACGAUGCAUAGCCGACCUGAGAGGGUGAUCGGCCACACUGGAACUGAGACACGGUCCAGACUCCUACGGGAGGCAGCAGUAGGGAAUCUUCCGCAAAGGGCGAAAGCCUGACGGAGCAACGCCGCGUGAGUGAUGAAGGUCUUCGGAUCGUAAAACUCUGUUAUUAGGGAAGAACAUAUGUGUAAGUAACUGUGCACAUCUUGACGGUACCUAAUCAGAAAGCCACGGCUAACUACGUG